rnacentral:rRNA from 1 species
AUACGUAGGGGGCGAGCGUUGUCCGGAUUUACUGGGCGUAAAGGGUGAGUAGGCGGUUAUAUUUGUCAGAUGUAAAAGGCUAUGGCUUAACCAUAGUUAGCAUUUGAAACUGUAUGACUUGAGUGCAGGAGAGGUAAGUGGAAUUCCUAGUGUAGCGGUGAAAUGCGUAGAUAUUAGGAGGAACACCAGUGGCGAAGGCGACUUACUGGACUGUAACUGACGCUGAGUCACGAAAGCGUGGGUAGCAAACAGGAUUAGAUACCCUGGUAGUCCACGCUGUAAACGAUGAGUGCUAGGUGUUGGCCAGCGAUGGUCAGUGCCGCAGUAAACACAUUAAGCACUCCGCCUGGGGAGUACGGUCGCAAGACUGAAACUCAAAGGAAUUGACGGGG